UGAUUUUAUUUCUUGCGCGUGCGUGUGUGUUAGGAGGAGAGUAUGAGUGCGUAUUACGUUUGAGCAGGCGUGAGGUUUUUAUCUUUCAUUAAGAACAUAAAAUUGCCUUUUCUGAACAUCAAGCUAUUAAAAGAAAUCGAUAAAGGGAGGUAACACAAAUCUGUAUUACUCUUUAAGGUCGCAAGAGUUAUUCUUUCCCGCAGCAGUGUACGUGUAUACGAAGCAUAUCUUUUCGGGAAAGUUUUUAGUUUCUGGAUGAUAGAGCUUAAAUAACAAUUGUGCGUUGGGAGGACAGUUUGAGUGUGUAAACGGAGACUUUUUUUUUUAAAGACUGUGCCAUAAAAUUUCUUAUUUGCACGUCAAGCUCAAUGUAACAUUGCUAGGGGAGAUAAAGCACAUUUAUGUUGCACUUUAAGAUCGCCGGAGUUAUUUUUGCCGACAACAUGUUUACGUUGCACCUUUAUCAAGACUGCACUGACAACCAACGUGAUAACAGCAAAAGCACCUAUAACUCCCCCAGCAACAGGUCCUGCUACUUCAGACUUUGAUUGCCCUGUGGAGAACAACAUUUUAUGAGUUACAAUGUCGUCUGCUUUGUUGUCGAUCUUAAAACUCAGCACUCGGGAUGCAUCUGUCAACAGGACGAAAAAACUGUGCAUUCAUCACUGUUUUUAAUGAUUUUUUUUAUUAUGGUAUAUAACAUGAGUAUGUAAAUACAAAAAAAGUUAUGAGUAAAAUCAUCCACCUGUAGAAGUAUUAUUAUUAAAAUUUGACUGGUAUUGCAUAAUUUAUUGUUUGAUUCCUAUUGUCAACAUAUGGGAACUUAAGUUUUUAAAAUGAACAUUCAAAAGUCUUUUUAUUAAUUUUUAAAUUGUGUGGUAUUUCUAAAUAUUUGAGUUAUAGUUAAUUCUUUAUCUUAAUGAGUAUCUGUUAAUGUGUCUGUCAGACAUAAGCAAUCAAUAUUUAUGAUCAUUAUUUUUAAUCUUCAAAAAUAAUUUGAAACAUAGAUGACUUCAAUGUGUAUAUCAAUGAGAUGAUUGCAGGAAUGAGUGGGAUAGAACUGAUUACACGGAAAGAAAAUGAAUGGGACUGGCUCAAAACCAAAACAAAUAUUGAAGAAAAAUGAAUCCUUAGAAAA